UACGUAGGUGGCAAGCGUUGUUCGGAAUUAUUGGGCGUAAAGGGCGCGUAGGCGGUUUGUUAAGUCGGCUGUGAAAGCCCGGGGCUCAACCCCGGAGGGUCAGCCGAUACUGGCAGGCUAGAGUACGGAAUAGGGGGGCGGAAUUCCCAGUGUAGCGGUGAAAUGCGUAGAUAUUGGGAGGAACACCAGUGGCGAAGGCGGCCAACUGGUCCGGUACUGACGCUGAGGUGCGAAAGCGUGGGGAGCAAACAGG
rnacentral:rRNA from 1 species